rnacentral:SRP_RNA from 1 species
UAUCGGUUCCCUCGCGACAACAAGCUGUGAACCCGGUCAGGCCUGGAAGGGAGCAGCCGCAGCAGUGGAUUUGGGCGCCGGGGUGUGGCUGGUACGG